rnacentral:tRNA from 1 species
UGCUUUUGUAGUGUAAUCAAACACAUUACAUUUUCAAUGUAAAGAUAAGAAUUUAUUUCUUUUAAAGUAA